UACAGAGGGGGCAAGCGUUGCUCGGAAUUACUGGGCGUAAAGGGCGCGCAGGCGGCUCGGAAAGUCGGGUGUGAAAACUCGGGGCUCAACCCCGGGCGUGCAUCCGAUACUGCCGGGCUUGAGGCAGGUAGGGGAGAUCGGAAUUCCUGGUGUAGCGGUGAAAUGCGCAGAUAUCAGGAGGAACACCGGUGGCGAAGGCGGAUCUCUGGGCCUGUCCUGACGCUGAGGCGCGAAAGCUAGGGGAGCGAACAGG
rnacentral:rRNA from 1 species